rnacentral:rRNA from 1 species
CAGUCGCCGCGGGAAUACGAAUGGGGCUAGCGUUGCUCGGAAUGACUGGGCGUAAAGGGCGCGUAGGCGGAUUGUUUAGUUAGGCGUGAAAUUCCUGGGCUUAACCUGGGGACUGCGCUUAAUACAGGCAGUCUAGAGUGAGGAAGAGGGUUGUGGAAUUCCCAGUGUAGAGGUGAAAUUCGUAGAUAUUGGGAAGAACACCGGUGGCGAAGGCGGCAACCUGGUCCUUUACUGACGCUGAAGCGCGAAAGCGUGGGGAGCAAACAGGAUUAGAUACCCCCGUAGUCCCUGUCUCUUAUAC